CCUACGGGAGGCAGCAGUGGGGGAUAUUGCACAAUGGGGGAAACCCUGAUGCAGCGACGCCGCGUGGGUGAAGAAGCGCCUCGGCGCGUAAAGCCCUGUCAGCAGGGAAGAAAAUGACGGUUCCUGAAGAAGAAGCCCCGGCUAACUACGUGCCAGCAGCCGCGGUAAUACGUAGGGGGCAAGCGUUAUCCGGAUUUACUGGGUGUAAAGGGGGCGCAGACGGCGAAGCAAGCCAGGAGUGAAAGCCCGGGGCCCAACCCCGGGACUGCGUUUGGAACUGCGUGGCUAGAGUGCAGGAGGGGCAGGCGGAAUUCCUGGUGUAGCGGUGAAAUGCGUAGAUAUCAGGAGGAACACCGGUGGCGAAGGCGGCCUGCUGGACUGCAACUGACGUUGAGGCCCGAAAGCGUGGGGAGCAAACAGGAUUAGAUACCCCAGUAGUC
rnacentral:rRNA from 1 species